GACGAACGCUGGCGGCGUGCUUAACACAUGCAAGUCGAACGGAAAGGCCCUGCUUGCAGGGUCCUCGAGUGGCGAACGGGUGAGUAACACGUGGGUGAUCUGCCCUGCACUUCGGGAUAAGCCUGGGAAACUGGGUCUAAUACCGGAUAGGAGCCAUUAUUAGUGUGAUGGUUGGAAAGUUUUUUCGGUGUAGGAUGAGCUCGCGGCCUAUCAGCUUGUUGGUGGGGUAAUGGCCUACCAAGGCGGCGACGGGUAGCCGGCCUGAGAGGGUGGACGGCCACAUUGGGACUGAGAUGCGGCCCAGACGCCGAAGGGAGGCAGCAGUGGGGAAGAUUGCACAAGGGGUGCAGGCCGGAUGCAGCGGCGCUGCGUGGGGGAUGACGGCCUUCGGGUUGUAAACAACUUUCGCGAGGGACGAAGCUUUUUGUGACGGUACCUAGAUAAGAAGCACCGGCUAACUACGUG
rnacentral:rRNA from 1 species